rnacentral:rRNA from 1 species
AUUGAACGCUGGCGGCAGGCCUAACACAUGCAAGUCGAACGAGUGGCGGACGGGUGAGUAAUGUCUGGAAAACUGCCUGAUGGAGGGGGAUAACUACUGGAAACGGUAGCUAAUACCGCAUACCAUCAGAUGUGCCCAGAUGGGAUUAGCUAGUGGGUGGGGUAACGGCUAACCAAGGCUACGAGCCCUAGCUGGGCUGAGAGGAUGACCAGCCACUCUGUAAUGGCUGCAAGGUCCCGACGCCUACGGGAGGCAGCAGUGGGGAAUAUUGCACAAUGGGCGCAAGCCUGAUGCAGCCAUGCCGCGUGUAUGAAGAAGGCCUUCGGGUUGUAAAGUACUGUCAGCGGGGAGGCGUUACCCGCAGAAGAAGCACCGGCUAACUCCGUGCCAGCAGCCGCGGUAAUAC